GUGGGGGGGCUGGGAGGCCCCCUGGGAGCCGGGACCCCCCCCGGGACAGGGGGACGAGCCCAGCGAGAGUCUGGUCCUGCACAAAGGCACGCCAGGCUUCGCCCUCCUGCUGGCCCGUGACACCCCCCACCCCCCGCUGCUGGGGGGUCCCAGCCCCCUCACCGCGCCCCCCGCCCCCCCCCCCC